UACGUAGGGUCCGAGCGUUGUCCGGAAUUACUGGGCGUAAAGGGUUCGUAGGUGGCCUGCUAAGUCAGACGUGAAAUCCCUCAGCUUAACUGGGGAACUGCGUCUGAGACUGGUGGGCUUGAGUGCAGGAGAGGAACGCGGAAUUCCAGGUGUAGCGGUGAAAUGCGUAGAUAUCUGGAGGAACACCGAUGGCGAAGGCAAUCCCCUGGACCUGUACUGACGCUCAUGCACGAAAGCGUGGGGAGCAAACAGG
rnacentral:rRNA from 1 species